rnacentral:rRNA from 1 species
CGAAAGCCUGACGGAGCAAUACCGCGUGAGGGAGGAAGGCUCUUGGGUUGUAAACCUCUUUUCUCAGGGAAGAACAAAAUGACGGUACCUGAGGAAUCAGCAUCGGCUAACUCCGUGCCAGCAGCCGCGGUAAUACGGAGGAUGCAAGCGUUAUCCGGAAUGAUUGGGCGUAAAGGGUUCGCAGGUGGCUGAGAAAGUCUGCUGUUAAAAGUCGGGGCUCAACCCCGAACCGGCAGUGGAAACUACGCAGCUAGAGUAUGGUAGGGGCAGAGGGAAUUCCUGGUGUAGCGGUGAAAUGCGUAGAGCUCAGGAAGAACACCGGUGGCGAAAGCGCUCUGCUAGACCUGUACUGACACUGAGGGACGAAAGCUAGGGGAGCG